rnacentral:rRNA from 1 species
AUUGAACGCUGGCGGCAGGCUUAAAACAUGCAAGUCGAGCGGGGUGAUGGUGCUUGCACUAUCACUUAGAGGCGGACGGGUGAGUAAUGCUUAGGAAUCUGCCUGUUAGUGGGGGACAACAUCUCGAUAGGGAUGCUAAUACCGCAUACGUCCUACGCGAGAAAGCAGGGGCUCACUUGUUCCCUUGCGCUAAUAGAUGAGCCUAAGUCGGAUUAGCUAGUUGGUGGGGUAAAGGCCUACCAAGGCGACGAUCUGUAGCGGGUCUGAGAGGAUGAUCCGCCACACUGGGACUGAGACACGGCCCAGACUCCUACGGGAGGCAGCAGUGGGGAAUAUUGGACAAUGGGGGGAACCCUGAUCCAGCCAUGCCGCGUGUGUGAAGAAGGCCUUAUGGUUGUAAAGCACUUUAAGCGAGGAGGAGGCUCUUUUGGUUAAUACCCAAGAUGAGUGGACGUUACUCGCAGAAUAAGCACCGGCUAACUCUGUGCCAGCCGCCGCGGUAA